AUUGAACGCUAGCGGGAUGCUUUACACAUGCAAGUCGAACGGCAGCGCGGACUUCGGUCUGGCGGCGAGUGGCGAACGGGUGAGUAAUGUCUCGGAACGUGCCCAGUAGCGGGGGAUAACUACGCGAAAGCGUAGCUAAUACCGCAUACGCCCUGCGGGGGAAAGCAGGGGAUCGUAAGACCUUGCGCUAUUGGAGCGGCCGAUAUCGGAUUAGCUAGUUGGUGAGGUAACGGCUCACCAAGGCGACGAUCCGUAGCUGGUCUGAGAGGACGAUCAGCCACACUGGAACUGAGACACGGUCCAGACUCCUACGGGAGGCAGCAGUGGGGAAUUUUGGACAAUGGGGGCAACCCUGAUCCAGCCAUCCCGCGUGUGCGAUGAAGGCCUUCGGGUUGUAAAGCACUUUUGGCAGGAAGGAAACGCCGCAGGCUAAUACCCCGCGGUACUGACGUUACCAGCAGAAUAAGCACCGGCUAACUACGUG
rnacentral:rRNA from 1 species